rnacentral:rRNA from 1 species
GUCGAGGGGUAAAUGGUAGCAAUACUAUGAGACCGGCGGACGGGUGCGUAACGCGUAUGCAACAUACCUUGUGCAGGGGGAUAGCCCGUGGAAACGCGGAUUAAUAUUCCGUAGUCCAGCUAUAUCGCAUGGUAUAGUUGGUAAAGAUUUAUCGGCACAAGUUUGGCAUGCGUCUGAUUAGCUUGUUGGUAGGGUAACGGCCUACCAAGGCUACGAUCAGUAGGGGUUCUGAGAGGAUUAACCCCCACACUGGUACUGAGACACGGACCAGACUCCUACGGGAGGCAGCAGUGAGGAAUAUUGGUCAAUGGGCGGAAGCCUGAACCAGCCAUCCCGCGUGAAGGAAGACAGCCUUACGGGUUGUAAACUUCUUUUCUGUCAGAAGAAUAAGCUUGUCGAGACGAGUGAUGCCGGUAUGACAGGAAUAAGCAUCGGCUAACUCCGUGCCAGCAGCCGCGGUAAUACGGAGGAUGCAAGCGUUAUCCGGAUUUAUUGGGUUUAAAGGGUGCGCAGGUUGUUUGAUAAGUCAGUGGUGAAAGUCUGUCGCUUAACGGUAGGAUUGCCAUUGAUACUGUUGGACUUGAAUAUGGAUGAGGUAGGCGGAAUGUGUAGUGUAGCGGUGAAAUGCAUAGAUAUUACACAGAACACCGAUUGCGAA